UACGUAGGGUGCAAGCGUUGUCCGGAAUUAUUGGGCGUAAGGGCUCGUAGGCGGUCUGUCGCGUCAGGAGUGAAAACUCGGGGCUUAACCCCGAGCCUGCUUCUGAUACGGGCAGACUAGAGGUAUGCAGGGGAGAACGGAAUUCCUGGUGUAGCGGUGAAAUGCGCAGAUAUCAGGAGGAACACCGGUGGCGAAGGCGGUUCUCUGGGCAUUACCUGACGCUGAGGAGCGAAAGUGUGGGGAGCGAACAGG
rnacentral:rRNA from 1 species